GACCCUGGGACACCCUGCAUUCUCUUUGCUUGUAUUGCUGUCCAUCCUGACCCACCAUAGCUCUACAGACCCUCAUCGAGGCAUCUAAGGAGAAAAUGACCAUACUUGGGGUCCCAGUCCUGGGAUUUGUCAUCACCAUCUUGAACCUUCAGAAAUCAUGGGCUAUCGUAGAGAAUCACGUGAUCAUCCAGGCUGAGUUCUAUCUGAGCCCUGACAAAUCUGGCGAGUUUAUGUUUGACUUUGACGGUGAUGAGAUUUUCCACGUGGAUAUGGAAAAGAGGGAGACGGUCUGGCGACUUGAAGAAUUUGGACAUUUUGCCAGCUUUGAGGCUCAGGGUGCACUGGCCAACAUAGCUGUGGACAAAGCCAACCUGGAAAUCAUGAUCAAGCGCUCCAACAACACCCCGAACACCAAUGUACCUCCAGAAGUGACUGUGCUCUCAGACAAGCCUGUUGAACUGGGAGAGCCCAACAUCCUCAUCUGUUUCAUCGACAAGUUCUCCCCGCCAGUGGUCAAUGUCACCUGGCUUCGAAAUGGCUCCCCUGUCACCAGAGGAGUGUCAGAGACAGUCUUCCUGCCCCGGGAGGACCACCUUUUCCGCAAGUUCCACUAUCUCCCCUUCAUGCCCUCAACCGAGGAUGUCUAUGACUGCCAGGUGGAGCACUGGGGUUUGGACAAGCCUCUUCUCAAGCACUGGGGUAAGAACCAUCCCUCAGUCUCCUUUGUUUCAUGGUUUUCUCCUGUAAUGCCUGCCUGUGCCUGGUGCUUUGGGAUCCUGAGUUCCCUGUUUCAUAGCAGCUUCUCCAGUUCUCAUCCCUGGUCUUGUCCCACUGAUCAGCUUUCCACACUUCCAGUUGUAAUUCCCGUAAUACAUCGUUCUGUUCUCUCUUAUCUAAUUGCUUAGUAACAAUUCUUUUGACUAAGUAUUCUCUAUUUGGCCCUCAGUGCUCUUCCCUACCGUAUUUAUUACGUCGGUGCUCUGCUUUCUUUUUCCCCAGAGUUUGAAGCUCAAACCCCCCUCCCAGAGACUACAGAGAACACCGUGUGUGCUCUGGGCCUGAUUGUGGCUCUGGUGGGCAUCAUCGUCGGAACCGUCCUCAUCAUCAAGGGUGUGCGCAAAGGCAACGCCACUGAACGCCGAGGGCCUCUGUGAGGUGCUUGCAGGGAAUGGACUUUGUUAAAGAUCAAUGAAGAUAUUUCCUCUUGAACAGCUUUACAAACCCAGCGAUACUCCAGCUGUUCACCUCCGUGAAGACAACUCUCCUUCAGCACUUUCCAGCCCUGAAGCCACUCUAAGUGUUGAUGCCUUCUUUAAUCUUCAAAUUCUAACAUCUGGUUAUUCCCUGUUUGUUACCCCUUCUUGUGCUGGCUUUCCCUCCAUUUCCACAGCCUUUUUAUUAUCACCAUGUAAUGCCUUUGGAAGAGAUCCCAUAGGAUCCUUUCUCUGCUAUGAAACCUUUCGAAUGUUCUAUGGAGGCAUCUACUGUAUACUUAUUACUUGGAGUUUCUUCCAACUGUGAUUGUGAUUUUUCUGAAUACAAUAAACUUUGAGUGGGCCUUAGGUGGA